CCUACGGGAGGCAGCAGUGAGGAAUAUUGGUCAAUGGGCGCGAGCCUGAACCAGCCAAGUAGCGUGAAGGAUGACUGCCCUACGGGUUGUAAACUUCUUUUAUAAAGGAAUAAAGUGAGGCACGUGUGCCUUUUUGUAUGUACUUUAUGAAUAAGGAUCGGCUAACUCCGUGCCAGCAGCCGCGGUAAUACGGAGGAUCCGAGCGUUAUCCGGAUUUAUUGGGUUUACGGGGGGCGUAGAUGGGGUGUUGAGUCAGGUGUGAAAGUUUGCGGCUCAACCGGAAAAGUGCAAUGGAUACGGGCAGGGUGGAGUGCAGGUGAGGUAGGCGGAAGGCGGGGGGUAGCGGUGAAAUGCUUAGAU
rnacentral:rRNA from 1 species